rnacentral:rRNA from 1 species
GAAAAGAAGUCAAUCGGUGAUUAGUAUCACUCGGCUUAAUGCAUUACUGCACUUCCACCUAUGACCUAUCAACGUGGUCGUCUUCCACGAACCUAUAGGGAAAACUCAUCUUGGGAUGGACUUGGCGCUUAGAUGCUUUCAGCGCUUAUUCCUUCCGCACUUAGCUACUCGGCCAUGCACUUGACAGUACAACCGAUGCACCAGUGGUGCGUCAGACCCGGUCCUCUCGUACUAAGGUCUGAACCCCUCAAUUUUCCAACGCCCACAGAGGAUAGAGGACCGAACUGUCUCGCGACGUUCUGAACCCAGCUCGCGUGCCGCUUUAACCGGCGAACAGCCGGACCCUUGGGACCUUCUCCAGCCCCAGGAUGCGACGAGCCGACAUCGAGGUGCCAAACCACGCCGUCGAUAUGAACUCUUGGGCGUGAUCAGCCUGUUAUCCCUAAGGUACCUUUUAUCCGUUGAGCGACGGCAAUUCCACUUUCUACCGCCGGAUCACUUGGGCCUGCUUUCGCAUCUGCUCGACUUGUUGGUCUCGCAGUUAGGCGCGUUUAUGCCCAUGCACUCGACACUCGGUUGCAGACCGAGCUGAACGCACCUUCGCACUCCUCCGUUACUUUUUGGGAGGAUACCGCCCCAGUAAAACUGACCGGCUGACACGGUCCCAUUGCCGGUUUCACGGCUUAUGGUUAGAUUCUCCAAUCUCAAAGGGUGGUGUCUCAUUGGCGACUCUGGCGGGCCCUAAAGCCAACCUUCAUAGUCUCCCACUUACUCUGAGCAUUGCGACCGAAGAAACAAUGACAGCUUACAGUUAAGGUCUAUAGGGUCUUUCCGUCCUUCUGCGGGUAGGCGGCAUCUUCACCGCCACUACAAUUUCACUGAGCGCCUAGUUGAGACAGUGCCCAACUCGUUUCACGAUUCGUGCAGGUCGGAACUUACCCGACAAGGAAUUUCGCUACCUUAGGACCGUUAUAGUUACGGCCGACAUUCACCGGGACUUGGGUUCAGAGCUUCGCUUGCGCUAACCCCUUGCCUUAAUCUUUCGGCAUUGGUCACGUGUCACACCCUAUACUUCGACUUGCGUCUUUGCAGAGUGCUGUGUUUUUGAUAAACAGUCGGUUGGGCCAUUUCUCUGCGGCCUGAUCUCUCAGGCACCCCUUCUUCCGAAGUUACGGGGCUAAUUUGCCGAGUUCCUUAACUAGGUUUCACUCUUGCGCCUUGGUAUAUUCUACCCACCCACCUGUGUCGGUUUACGGUACGGGUUCCUUAGCAUACGGCAGGGCUUUUCUUGGCACUCGAUUUGAUCAUGCGUUUCGGCCGAAGCCUCCACUCGGAAUUCGUUUACCUGGUGAUCUCUUCUCAUGCGUCCUCCUGCUUUAAGGGUCGGAAGCUCAGGAUUAUUAACCUGAUGUCCAUCGCCUACGCCUCUCGGCCUCGGCUUAGGUCCCGGCUAACCCAGGGACGUACAUCGUUGCCCUGGAAACCUCGGGUUUACGGCGGACAUGUAUUUAACAUGUCUUUACGUUACUAAUGUCUGCAUACUCACUUGAAUGCUCUCCAGGUUCAGUCGCCAUCCCCCUUCUACGUACAUUCAACGCUCUCCUACCACUCUAUCUUACGAUAAAGUCCAGAGCUUCGGUAUAACGCUUAUCGCCAAUCAUUUUCGGCGCAGGAUCACUCGAUGAGUAAGCUAUUACGCAUUUUUUAAAUGGUGGCUGCUUCUAAGCCAACAUCCUCACUGUCUGUGUAAUCCCACAUCCUUUCCACUGAGCGUUAUUUUGGCACCUUAGCUGCUGGUCUGGGCUGUUUCCCUUUCGACAAUGAAGCUUAUCCCCCACUGUCUCACUGCCAUAUUCCAUUGCGCGGUAUUCAGAGUUUGAUAAGGUUUGGUAAGCGGGUGUGCCCCCUAGCCUUGUCAGUGCUUUACCCCCGCGCAUCAGCAUAUGACGCUGCACCUAAAUGCAUUUCGGAGAGAACCAGCUAUCACGGGGUUUGAUUAGCCUUUCACUCCUACCCUCAACUCAUCAGAGAACUUUUCAACGUUCACCUGUUCGGUCCUCCACAUAGUUUUACCUAUGCUUCAACCUGGUCAAGGGUAGGUCACCUCCGCUUCGGGUCCAGUACCCGCGACUUAACGCCCUUUUCGGACUCGCUUUCGCUACGACUCCAUCCCGGAAGGAUUUAGUCUUGCCACGAACACUGACUCGCAGACUCAUUAAACAAAAGGCACGCCAUCGCCUUUACGGCUCUGACACUUUGUAGACUUACGGUUUCAGGUUCUAUUUCACUCCGCUCACAGCGGUUCUUUUCACCUUUCCCUCGCGGUACUUGUUCACUAUCGGUCGCCAACUAGUAUUUAGCCUUGCGCGGUGGUCCGCGCGGAUUCAUACACCGUUCCACGUGUGGUGUAUUACUCAGGAUUCCUCUUACUCCCACUGGUCAUUUCGCUCACGAGGCUUUCACUCUCUCCGGCCUACCUUUCCAGGUAGUUAAACUAUGAUCAAUGGUCGAGUUUGUCGAGGUCCUACAACCCCGAAGGAGUACCUUCGGUUUGGGCUCUACCGCUUUCGCUCGCCACUACUUACGGUAUCGAUUUCUCUUUCUUUUCCUCCGCUUACUGAGAUGUUUCACUUCAGCGGGUGUCGCGUUCCUUAUCCUAUGUAUUCAGAUAAGGUCGAUUCCGUAUUACCGGAAUCAGGUUACCCCAUUCGGAUACCCCCGGGUCUUAGCUCACUUGCAGCUCUCCGAGGCUUUUCGCAGCUUGUUGCGUCCUUCUUCGCCUGUUGGCACCAAGGCAUUCUCCGUAAGCCCUUGGUUUCUUCU